GGGUUCUUGUCGGGGUGCCUCGAGUCGGAGGCUGAGAUCGGAGAGUUCCGGAUCCCGUUGAACCUGAUCAGGUUAAGGCCUGCGUAGGGAACAAGAGGUAUCCACCU
rnacentral:ncRNA from 2 species